CAAUUAUAAGAUGAAUUCUUUGCACGAAGACACAUUACAAAAUUCUUCUCACAAAUAAUUUUUUCCUGUAGCCGUAAGACUGAGUUCAGGAUGACUGUUGGAAUGUAGCUACAUCUCUUCUCACCCGACUUCUGCCAGAGGUUCCGUCUUAAAGAUUCACCGGACGUAAAGAGACCUCGAGCAUUUCGUCUCUCGCGACGAAAAGACUUGAUGAGCAUAUCACUAACAGAUAUUGAGAUACCAAAGAACCCCGACUCCUAAACCCAAAGAUUUUAUCGAGAAAACCAUUUGUUGACCUAGCUUCUACGUAUCUUCA